CCUACGGGAGGCAGCAGUGAGGAAUAUUGGUCAAUGGCCGGAAGGCUGAACCAGCCAUGCCGCGUGAAGGUCAGUGCCCUAUGGGCGUUAAACUUCUUUUGUGCGGGAGCAAUAAUGGUCACGUGUGGCCAGACGAGAGUACCGUACGAAUAAGCAUCGGCCAACUCCGUGCCAGCAGCCGCGGUAAUACGGGGGAUGCAAGCGUUAUCCGGAUUUAUUGGGUUUAAAGGGUGCGUAGGCUGUGAGGUAAGUCAGCGGUGAAAUGCCCCCGCUCAACGGGGUGAAGUGCCAUUGAUACUGCCUGGCUGGAAUGCGGAUGCCGUGGGAGGAAUGUGUGGUGUAGCGGUGAAAUGCAUAGAUAUCACACAGAACACCGAUUGCGAAGGCAUCUCACGAAUCCGCGAUUGACGCUGAUGCACGAAAGCGUGGGUAUCAAACAGGAUUAGAUACCCGAGUAGUC
rnacentral:rRNA from 1 species